rnacentral:rRNA from 1 species
AUACGUAGGUGGCGAGCGUUAUCCGGAUUUACUGGGUGUAAAGGGUGUGUAGGCGGGGCUGCAAGUCUGGUGUGAAAUUUAACGGCUUAACCGUUAAUGUGCAUUAGAAACUGCGGCUCUUGAGGGCCGGAGGGGUAAACGGAAUUCCCGGUGUAGCGGUAAAAUGCGUAGAUAUCGGGAGGAACACCAGUGGCGAAGGCGGUUUACUGGACGGCAACUGACGCUGAGACACGAAAGCGUGGGGAGCAAACAGGAUUAGAUACCCUGGUAGUCCACGCCCUAAACGAUGAAUAUUAGGUGUGGGUGCGAAAAGCAUCCGUGCCGCAGCUAACGCAGUAAAUAUUCCACCUGGGGAGUACGGCCGCAAGGUUGAA